CCCCUCCCCAAGCCUUCCUUCCUCUUCCUUAUUGAUCGCUUUCUUUCCAAACAAGGCUAAAGAGACGAGAAUCGUAUUGGACAGACGCUGCUCAUUCGUGAAUAACAGGUUCAGUGCCUAGGCGGGCUCUCGCCAUUAUCCUGUAAGGUGUCAUCUCAAAGACAACCAUCUUGAACAAUGAGCAUGGACAUCAGAGAAAUGCAGCUGCUUCUGCCACUUCCAAACUGGCAAUGAAAUGGAGACUCUGCUCCAAAUGUCAGUCAAGGCAAGACAAUGGUUUCCCACCUCUGCUCUUGGCUCUUGCGUGACAACCAGGCUUGGGAAGAAGUUGCUAAGGAAGGGCGUAACCCAUUCAGAAAGGAAAUGUCCUAACUUAGCUGCCAUCCAAAGAAAGAAAACAUCACCAGAGGAACAACAGCAUCAAGACUUUCAUCUGGAUGGAUUUAGUAAUUACUCUUAAUAAACUACAGAGCCCUUCCCUGA